GCGGCCGGUCUGGAGAAACUAGCUGCCACGCGGACACGCUAGCUAGUGAGCGGNCAAAGCUCAAAUUUGAAAUCUGGCACCUUCGGUGUCCGAGUUGUAAUUUGAAGAAGGUAACUUUGGAGUUGGCUCUUGUCUAUGUUCCUUGGAACAGGACGUCACAGAGGGUGAGAAUCCCGUGCGAUGAGAUGCCCAAUUCUAUGUAAAGUGCUUUCGAAGAGUCGAGUUGUUUGGGAAUGCAGCUCUAAGUGGGUGGUAAAUUCCAUCUAAAGCUAAAUAUUGGCGAGAGACCGAUAGCGAACAAGUACAGUGAUGGAAAGAUGAAAAGAACUUUGAAAAGAGAGUGAAAAAGUACGUGAAAUUGUUGAAAGGGAAGGGCUUGAGAUCAGACUUGGUAUUUUGCGAUCCUUUCCUUCUUGGUUGGGUUCCUCGCAGCUUACUGGGCCAGCAUCGGUUUGGAUGGUAGGAUAAUGACUAAGGAAUGUGGCUCUACUUCGGUGGAGUGUUAUAGCCUUGGUUGAUACUGCCUGUCUAGACCGAGGACUGCGUCUUUUGACUAGGAUGUUGGCAUAAUGAUCUUAAGCCACCCGUCUUGAAACACGGACCAA
rnacentral:rRNA from 1 species